rnacentral:misc_RNA from 1 species
GAUGAAGAACGCAGCGAAAUGCGAUAAGUAGUGUGAAUUGCAGAAUUCAGUGAAUCAUCGAAUCUUUGAACGCACAUUGCACCCGCCAGUAUUCUGGCGGGCAUGCCUGUUCGAGCGUCAUUUCAACCCUCAAGCCCUCGGGUUUGGUGUUGGGGAUCGGCGAGCCUUUCUGGCAAGCCGGCCCCGAAAUCUAGUGGCGGUCUCGCUGCAGCCUCCAUUGCGUAGUAGUAAAACCCUCGCAACUGGAACGCGGCGCGGCCAAGCCGUUAAACCCCCAACUUCUGAAUGUUGACCUCGGAUCAGGUAGGAAUACCCGCUGAACUUAAGCAUAUCAAUAAGCGGAGGA